GCCAGGAAGUCAGGUGCCGAGGCUGGAAAGACUCCAUUCCAGAUCCGUUGGCAGUUGGCCCUUCAGCUGCUAUACAACCCCAUGAUGGGCCCAGGGGUAUUGGAGCUGGUUUUGGACCACAGGAGGAGAGUGAAGUGAAGUACAACCAAUAUCGUCAGCAGCAAGCUUGUCAAGUUAGCACUGGAGCUGUUGACUCUCCAGCAGGAAGAAGUAAGCUAAAAGUCAAAGGGCAUAAAAUCAAAGAUUUAUUUGUCCUGCCUAUGUACUAAUUUCUCAGAUUUUGGAAGAUUUAGUCAUCAGAUGUUUUACCACACUUGUUGUAACAUCGGCUUCAAACCUGUCAGUUAACCUUGCCUGUGUCGGCCACAGGGAAGCAGACUCACGAAGAACAAGUAUGAAAGUCAUACACGGAGCAGGAGGGAGAGAGGGCACAAUGGCAGCAAACGCCGAUGACUGGCUCCUCUUUGCAAAGUACAGUUGUAAUCUUUUUAAUAAAAUGACCCUGGCAUUUUGCCUCAAUAACUUUUCCUGUA